CAGUCGCCACGGUAAUACGAAGGGUGCAAGCGUUAAUCGGAAUUACUGGGCGUAAAGCGUGCGUAGGCGGUGAGUUAAGUCUGCUGUGAAAUCCCCGGGCUCAACCUGGGAAUGGCAGUGGAUACUGGCUCGCUAGAGUGUGUCAGAGGAUGGUGGAAUUCCCGGUGUAGCAGUGAAAUGCGUAGAGAUCGGAAGGAACAUCUGUGGCGAAGGCGACUAUCUGGGCCAACACUGACACUGAGGCACGAAAGCGUGGGGAGCAAACAGGAUUAGAUACCCCCGUAGUCCCUGUCUCUUAUAA
rnacentral:rRNA from 1 species